rnacentral:rRNA from 1 species
AGUGAACGCUGGCGGUAGGCCUAACACAUGCAAGUCGAACGGCAACACAGUAAGAGCUUGCUCUUACGGGUGGCGAGUAGCGGACGGGUGAGGAAUAGAUCGGAAUCUACUUUUUCGUGGGUGAUAACGUAGGGAAACUUACGCUAAUACCGCAUACGACCUACGGGUGAAAGCAGGGGAUCUUCGGACCUUGCGCGAUUGAAUGAGCCGAUGUCGGAUUAGCUAGUUGGCGGGGUAAAGGCCCACCAAGGCGACGAUCCGUAGCUGGUCUGCGAGGAUGGUCAGCAACACUGGAACGGAGACACGGUCCAGACUCCUACGGGAGGCAGCAGUGGGGAAUAUUGGACAAUGGGCGCAAGCCUGAUCCAGACAUACCGCGGGGGUGAAGAAGGCUUUCGGGUUUUAAAGCCUUUUUGUUGGGAAAGAAAAGUAGCAGGUUAAUACCCCGCUGUUCUGACGGUACCCAAAGAAUAAGCACCGGCUAACUUCGUG